rnacentral:lncRNA from 1 species
CGGACGGUGCGCUCUUAAACCCUUUGAUUUGAGAUUUUUCCAAUCCCUCGAAAUCCCUGGAGUGCAUCAGCGAUUUGGAAGAAAAUUUUCAAGAAUCAUGAUUGAAAACAGAUUAACUUCACUUCUGAGGAAAACAAAAUCCUUCAGUAAAAGUUUCUCGUCCUCAAAUCCUAGGGAAUGGAAAACAUUUUCCACUGUAAAUGGAUUAGCAACUGAAUCUUCAUUGUUAAUCCAAUCAAGAUUUCACUCUUCAUUUCCUAACCUUAUUCCUGCUUCCAGAAGUUCCGUUUCACGAAAUUUUCUUAUCCAUGGUUUUAGAAGCUUUCAUCGUAACAAUAACAAGGUAUUUGGAGUUUUUAUUUAUCUUUUUAUUGUCAUUUCAAAAGAUUUUUUAGUAUGAAAAUGCGUAGAUAACUUCUAUUAAAACAAGACAAGAUGAAAUAUUAACAGCCAAAGUUCAAGUUUCGCUUAUCAUUUAUGAAAAUAAUGCACCACACCUUUAAUUAAAAAAAUGAAUGCUGUCUGCACGUUCACAUGAGGGAACAUAUUUGAAGAUUUUAAUGGCUUAAGCUUUUAGAUAAAAUGAUAUUGAGCUUUGCCAAGCAUGUUCUUAGCAUGUGCAGUUGUAGUUAUAUUGCUUGAUAUUUGUGGUGUGGUUCAUCAGUAGACUACAUCACUUGAAGUUGUUUGUUUUGGUUAUAUUUCAAACAUUGUUCUUUAGCCUCCGUCUGGAUACAAAUUUAUAAAUGGUUAAUAAAUUCAUUCAAAUCAAACAUUAUUUUAACUAAAUGUUCAUAAAUACUACUCAUUAUUAUCCACACAUUU